rnacentral:rRNA from 1 species
UACGUGAGGUGCAAGCGUUGUCCGGAAUUAUUGGGCGUAAAGAGCUCGUAGGCGGUUUGUUGCGUCGGCUGUGAAAUCCCGAGGCUCAACCUCGGGUCUGCAGUCGAUACGAGCAAACUAGAGUGUUGCAGGGGAGACUGGAAUUCCUGGUGUAGCGGUGAAAUGCGCAGAUAUCAGGAGGAACACCUAUUGCGAAGGCAGCUCGCUGGGACGUAACUGACGCUGGAGACGCGAAAGCGUGGGGAGCAAACAGG